CCUACGGGAGGCAGCAGUGGGGAAUCUUGCGCAAUGGGCGAAAGCCUGACGCAGCCAUGCCGCGUGAAUGAUGAAGGUCUUAGGAUUGUAAAAUUCUUUCACCGAGGACGAUAAUGACGGUACUCGGAGAAGAAGCCCCGGCUAACUUCGUGCCAGCAGCCGCGGUAAUACGAAGGGGGCUAGCGUUGCUCGGAAUUACUGGGCGUAAAGGGAGCGUAGGCGGAUAGUUUAGUCAGAGGUGAAAGCCCAGGGCUCAACCUUGGAAUUGCCUUUGAUACUGGCUAUCUUGAGUACGGAAGAGGUAUGUGGAACUCCGAGUGUAGAGGUGAAAUUCGUAGAUAUUCGGAAGAACACCAGUGGCGAAGGCGACAUACUGGUCCGUUACUGACGCUGAGGCUCGAAAGCGUGGGGAGCAAACAGGAUUAGAUACCCUGGUAGUCCACGCUGUAAACGAUGAGUGCUAGUUGUCGGCAUGCAUGCAUGUCGGUGACGCAGCUACGCAUAAGACACUCCGCCGUCGGGUAGGUACGGUCGCGAAGAAGUUAAAACGUUAAAAGUAAGUUAGACGGCGUGAGACGUGCCGACGACGACGACGAGGGAGGUUAGG
rnacentral:rRNA from 1 species